rnacentral:rRNA from 1 species
UACAACUUUCAACAACGGAUCUCUUGGCUCUCGCAUCGAUGAAGAACGCAGCGAAAUGCGAUAAGUAAUGUGAAUUGCAGAAUUCAGUGAAUCAUCGAAUCUUUGAACGCACCUUGCGCUCCUUGGUAUUCCGAGGAGCAUGCCUGUUUGAGUGUC